rnacentral:rRNA from 1 species
CACCCGUUCCCAUACCGAACACGGAAGUUAAGCUUCUCAGCGCCGAUGGUAGUUGGGACACGCGUCCCUGUGAGAGUAGGACGUUGCCAGGC